UACGAAGGGGGCUAGCGUUGCUCGGAAUCACUGGGCGUAAAGGGUGCGUAGGCGGGUCUUUAAGUCCGUUGUGAAAGUCAAAGGCUCAACCUUUGAAAGCCGAUGGAUACUGCAGGGCUAGAGUCCGGAAGAGGCGAGUGGAAUUCCUGGUGUAGCGGUGGAAUGCGCAGAUAUCAGGAGGAACACCAAUAGCGAAGGCAGCUCGCUGGGACGGUACUGACGCUAAGGCGCGAAAGCGUGGGGAGCGAACAGG
rnacentral:rRNA from 1 species